UACAGAGGUCUCAAGCGUUGUUCGGAUUCACUGGGCGUAAAGGGCGUGUAGGCGGGCAGGUAAGUCGGGCGUGAAAUCCCUGAGCUCAACUCAGGAACUGCACUCGAAACUACUUGUCUUGAGUACCGGAGAGGAAAGCGGAAUACCUGGUGUAGAGGUGAAAUUCGUAGAUAUCAGGUGGAACACCAGUGGCGAAGGCGGCUUUCUGGACGGUAACUGACGCUGAGACGCGAAAGCGUGGGGAGCAAACAGG
rnacentral:rRNA from 1 species